UACAGAGGUCUCAAGCGUUGUUCGGAUUCAUUGGGCGUAAAGGGUGCGUAGGCGGCGCGGUAAGUCGGGUGUGAAAUCUCGGAGCUUAACUCCGAAACUGCAUUCGAUACUGCGGGUCUCGAGUCCGGGAGAGGUGAGUGGAAUUCCUAGUGUAGAGGUGAAAUUCGUAGAUAUUAGGAAGAACACCAGUGGCGAAGGCGGCUCACUGGCCCGGUACUGACGCUGAG
rnacentral:rRNA from 1 species